UGGCUGCUGGAUGGAGGAAAAUAGUUGACAUCGAUCACCUAAAUAAUUAUAUUAUAAAUUUAUUAGCACUAAGCCAAAAUAAAACUCUAAAGAGACAACAGAGAGUCUAAUUCAUGCCGAAAAUUUGACAGAAUUUCCCUUAUACUUGGGACCUACCCUUAUACUUGGGACCUACCAAACCUACAAAAGAGUUCAGAAUACACUUCUAUAUCCAUAAAUCUCACAAUCGCAACUCAAUCACAUUACAAGGCCCCUCCUGGGCCCACCCAAACAGUCAACAAUCACAAUUCAAAAAAUUACAAUUUAGCCCCUAUAACUAGCCUUUUUGCAAAAAUUACCUAAACGAGCUCUAAAAAUUCUAAAAUUUUGCCCCGCGGUCCUUAAUAAUAUUAUAAGGCUAUUGCAAAAUGAAUUGUAAUUUUCUAAUCACCCAUGAAUAUUUUAUUCAAGAAUUUUACUCGAUUCCAUGAGAUUCCAACAUCUAACAUAUUCUUAAUUCAACCUAAUU
rnacentral:misc_RNA from 1 species